UCCUGCCCCUGAGACUGGGCACCACUUCCCAAAAACCCAAACCUACCCUGCCCUACACCCACCAGCCCUGCCUCUCUCUCCCCUUCCACCCUUCUACAAUGAUGUUACCACCCAGGAGCCGUAGCUGGUGGUCAGAACAUCACAGCCCGGAUCGGAGAGCCACUUAUGCUGAGCUGUAAGGGGGCCCCUAAGAAGCCAACCCAGAAGCUAGAAUGGAAACUGGUAAGCAGGACCCCACCCACCCACACACACACCUGGCCACACACCUGGCCACCAAAAGCCCUCCUCGAGGGUCCCCAGCACCCGGCCCUGACUAAGCAGUUCUUCCCCAGAGGGCCCAGUCCGCUUAGGUUUUUCUCUUCUUUGCAGAACACAGGAAGGACUGAAGCUUGGAAGGUCCUCUCUCCCCAGGGAGACCCCUGGGACAGUGUGGCUCGAAUCCUCCCCAAUGGUUCACUCCUCCUUCCAGCUAUCGGAAUUGUCGAUGAGGGGACUUUCCGGUGUCGGGCAACUAACAGGCUUGGGAAGGAGGUCAAGUCCAACUACCGAGUCCGAGUCUACCGUAAGGGUUCCAGGCCGUGGCUAAGUCACUUUGCAUUUAACAAAAAGCCUUCAUUUACAACCCCCCAACCCCCACCCUUGACUCUUAGCCCUGGUGUGUCUGGACCUCUGAUCUCCACGGCCCUUCCUCCCAUGCCUGGAGUGUGAGAAAUUAUGACUGAAUUUUCCCUCUAGAGAUUCCUGGGAAGCCGGAAAUUGUGAAUCCUGCCUCUGAACUCACAGCCAAUGUCCCUAAUAAGGUGGGGACGUGUGUGUCUGAGGGGAGCUACCCUGCAGGGACCCUUAGCUGGCACUUGGAUGGGAAACCUCUGAUUCCUGAUGGCAAAGGGACAGUUGUGAAGGAGGAGACCAGGAGGCACCCUGAGACGGGACUCUUCACGCUUCGGUCAGAGCUCACAGUGACCCCAGCCCAAGGAGGGACCACUCCUACCUAUUCCUGCAGCUUCAGCCUGGGCCUUCCUCGGCACAGACCCCUGAACACAGCCCCCAUCCAGCCCCGAGUCAGGGAGCCCCUGCCUCCAGAGGGCAUUCAGCUGUUGGUUGAGCCUGAAGGUGGAACAGUCGCUCCUGGUGGGACCGUGACCCUGACCUGUGCCAUCUCUGCCCAGCCUCCCCCUCAAAUCCACUGGAUAAAAGAU
rnacentral:lncRNA from 1 species